AGAGCAUCCCUAGUGGUAGAGUCCCUCAUUAGGAAUUUUCAAUAUAUUAAUCAUACUUUUUGCAUAAUUCAAAGUUAAGGACUUCAUAAGGAGAUUCUUAUUUUUUCCUCCUCCAAUGGUAGAAUCAUCUCAUUAAGGAUUUUCAGAGAAACCUUAAAAGAUCAACACUUUUUCUCAGAGAAAAUAAAAACCAACAAAAUCAAGUCCAAGCAACUAUCUUCUAGACUCUGCGUUUCCAAUUCAUCCUCAGCCAUGUCUUUGGUGAUCUUGUUCUCCAUUUGAAGAUCAACAAGAAUCUAACCAUCCUUAGUUCGACCAAUCCCAUCAUUUCUUCUA